CCUCUGUACACGUACACACAUCAUAAAGUGAAUAGACGAAAAGAGCAACAGACAACACAAUCUUUAACAGUCAUGAGUUCAGCACAGCAGUCUAUCCUGAUUUUCUCAGCUCUGUGGACUCUCUGCUUGGGUAGGACCACUCAGUUUCAUGUGAUGAAACAAGCAAUGGUCUGGACUGAAGCUCAAAAAUACUGCAGGGACUAUUUCACUGAUCUGGUUACCAUUCACAACCAAGAGGAAAUGAACACCAUAAUAGCAAAAGUGAAUGGAAUAACCGGCCAUUUUUGGAUAGGAUUGAUGCCCAAAAUGCAAAACAACAGUAUUACCUGGGUCUGGUCUGAUGGGAGCAAUGCCUCGUACAGAUACUGGAAUACUAGUCAGCCAGGUGCUGC